rnacentral:rRNA from 1 species
UACGUAGGGUCCGAGCGUUGUCCGGAAUUACUGGGCGUAAAGAGCUCGUAGGUGGUUUGUCGCGUUGUUCGUGAAAACUCACAGCUCAACUGUGGGCGUGCGGGCGAUACGGGCAGACUUGAGUACUGCAGGGGAGACUGGAAUUCCUGGUGUAGCGGUGGAAUGCGCAGAUAUCGGGAGGAACGCCGGUGGCGAAAGCGAUUCUCUGGCCCGUCCCUGACACUGAGGCGCGAGAGCUAGGGGAGCAAACAGG